AUUUAAGUAGUUUAUUAAAAUAAAGAAUUGUGGUUUCUUAGAUGGUACUUACUCUUAAAUU
rnacentral:tRNA from 1 species